GAUGAAGAACGCAGCGAAAUGCGAUAAGUAAUGUGAAUUGCAGAAUUCAGUGAACCAUCGAAUCUUUGAACGCACAUUGCGCCCGCCAGUAUUCUGGCGGGCAUGCCUGUCCGAGCGUCAUCUCAACCCUCGAGCCCCCCCGGGGGCUCGGCGUUGGGGACCGGCCCCGCCCCAGGGCGCGCCGCCCCCCAAAUCCAGUGGCGGUCCCGCCGCAGCCUCCCCUGCGCAGUAGCUUGCACUCUCGCACCGGAGAGCGGCGCGGCCACGCCGUAAAACCCCCCGACCACGGAGCCCCGGCUCCUGAACGUUGACCUCGGAUCAGGUAGGAAUACCCGCUGAACUUAAGCAUAUCAAUAAGCGGAGGA
rnacentral:misc_RNA from 1 species